rnacentral:snRNA from 13 species
GAACGCUGGCACCGGAACCAGGGUGAUCAAGGACGCCCUGAUGGAGGUUCGCCCUUGCACUCUGGCGGUUUCAAGCCUGCGAAGAUCCCUAAUCGGGCUCGAUCGGGUGCGUAGUAUUUGCCAGUGAGGAGGUAUUCGGACCAUCUCUU